CAAUGCUGGAUCCUUAACCCACUGAGGGAGGCCAAGGAUCAAACCCGUGUCCUCAUGGAUACUAGUUCGAUUUCUUUCCAGUGAGCCACAAUGGAAAUUCCUUUUUUUUUUUUUUUGGUUCAUUUGCUUUUCUUUGUUUAUGAUAUACUGCCAUAUAAAUAUGUAUAUAUUCAUUCCCCUAUUCUUUGGCAUUCUGGGUGUUUGUUUGUUUGUUUGUUUUCCCUGAUAAACAGUUAGAGAUGUAGUUCACAUACCACACAAGUCACUAAUGAGAAGGUACAAGUUAAUGGUUUCUGGUUUAUUCACAGAGUUGUAUAGCCAUCCCAGCAGUCAAUUUGAGACCAUUUGCACUGCCCUCAGAAGAAACCCUGCACGUCGUUAGCAGUUACUCACGGGUCUCCAGUCCCCUUGUCCCCACCACCACUAGCCUCCUUGCCGUCUCUGUACAUUGGCCUGUUCUGAACAUUUUGCAUAAAUGGAGUCAUAUAAUUUGUGACUGGCUUUUCUCAUUUGGCAAAAUCUUUUCUUCGAGUUUCAUCCAUCUUUGUGGCACGGAUCAGGGCUUCCUUUUAUUGCCAAGUAAUGUUCCGUAUUUUAUUUCUAUAUUCAUUGGUUUAUGGGCUUCGGGGUUACGUGGGUGUCGAUUUUUGCCCCUUCUCGCUGUGUGAUGGUGAACAUCAUACCACCUUAUUUCCUGGGCAUUCGUGCAAGCGUUUCUCAGGGGCCUUUUCUUGGGGUGGAUGGUUUGAAAUACAGAGAAGGCAGGUGCUGAGCACUGCCAGAGGAUGCCGGAUCGCUUCCCAAAUGCUUGAGCAGUUUACCCUCCCACCGGUGACAUGAAAGACACCAUUGACCCACGUCCGUGCUGCUAUGUGCCAUGGCAGGAUUUCUAGUUUUUGACCAAGUUGUUUGUUUUAUUAAUAUCUUUUGGUUUUUUAGAAGUCAAACCACAGCUCUGCAUUUGACUCACUGCCUGAUGAUAAGACUCACAUGGAGAUUCAGACAGACGGCCACCUGCCCGUCUCCUUCCGUAAUGAUGGUUUCUCCUCUGUCACAGCCCAGCCCUGGCUCGCUGACCCGAUGCCCAUGUUUCGGUCGAUACUCAUGGUCUUCCUUCCUGGAUGGGCUCUGUCUGCGGCUGGUCCUGGAUGCUCAACCCACCUCUCCCCAGACGGAGAGUAGAGAGAGGCUGUCCCGUGUCCUCAUCCUGAUGUCAAAUAAAUCUGGUCUCCGUUGUUCCAUGUUGGCCAGAAGCCUAUUUGAGUGCUUUCUGGAGUGCGUGUUUUUAAGUCAGGUAAAUCAAAGGUAG
rnacentral:lncRNA from 1 species